ACGUACUUUACGUCGGACAUUUUUUUAUUUUAAAAAAUAUUUAGAGUAUGUAUUUCUCGUACGUGAAGCAGGAAAUGUACAGGAUUUCUGACGAAGAAUUAAUUAUUUUCUAAAUCGUUCAUUCUGAAUUAUUUAUCAUUCUGUUACAAUGUCAAAGGGUUAAUCUACUUAUAAUUCAGACAUUCCGUCCUCCAAUGAUCGUACAGCGAUUACGACAACCAUUUUUAAAGCUAGAUUUAGAUAAUUUCUUUAAUUCCUAAGAUGUUCGAUACUUUUCAAAUAUCCAGCUACAAAACUCUAUUGAUGCUAAUCGUAAAGUUCAAAAUCAAGGCUUAAGUUAAAAUAAACGAGAGAUAAUUUAAAUCCGAGUAAACCAUGUUUAACCAGAUACUCGUAGAAUUAUUCAUAAAUGAACAACAAGAAAGAUUUGUUAUACCUCGGUUGUGUUCAUCGAACAGUUAACAUGCCAAAAAAGAGAAAAAAAGAGAAAAAGAAAGAAGGGAAGAAA